GGGGAGAGAGAAUGACAGAGGAAAGGGAAGGGGGAGAGAGAACGACAGAGGAAAGGGAAGAGAGAGAGAAUGACAGAGGAAAGGGAAGGGGGAGAGAGAGAACGACAGAGGAAAGGGAAGGGGGAGAGAGAAUGACAGAGGAAAGGGAAGGGGGAGAGAGAACGACAGAGGAAAGGAGGGGGAGAGAGAACGGCAGAGGAAAGGGAAGGGGGAGAGAGAACAGCAGAGGAAAGGGAAGGAGGAGAGAAUGACAGAGGAAAGAGAAGAGAGAGAGAGAAUGACAGAGGAAAGGGAAGGGAGAGAGAAUGACAGAGGAAAGGGAAGGGGGAGAGAGAAUGACAGAGGAAAGGGAAGGAGGAGAGAGAACGACAGAGGAAAGGGAAGGUGGAGAGAGAACGACAGAGGAAAGGGAAGAGAGAGAGAGAAUGACAGAGGAAAGAGAAGAGAGAGAGAAUGACAGAGGAAAGGGAAGGGGGAGAGAGAAUGACAGAAGAAAGGAAGAGAGAGAGAAUGACAGAGGAAAGGGAAGGGGGAGAGAGAAUGACAGAGGAAAGGGAAGGAGGAGAGAGAAUGACAGAGGAAAGGGAAGAGAGAGAGAAUGACAGAGGAAAGGGAAGGGGAGAGAGAGAACGACAGAAGAAAGGGAAGGGGGAGAGAGAAUGACAGAGGAAAGAGAAGAGAGAGAGAAUGACAGAGGAAAGGGAAGGGGGAGAGAGAGAACGACAGGAAGUGGGAGAGAGAACAUCAGAGUAAAGGGAAGGGGGAGAGAGA
ensembl:lncRNA